UUAGAAUCGUCGGUCUGCAUCGGUUACGGUUACAUUGGACCGAGCUACUAAGUAGCUUGAAAAACUUAUUGUGCUUUGUAUACCAAAGUGGAUUAUUUGAAGGGGACGGAUAUUUCCACGGCAAUAGAUCGGACCAGUCCAAAAUUAAUUUAUUCAGUUUCGUGAAGUCAGCCUUACAAAAGAAACGAACCUAUGAGAUUUAAG
rnacentral:sRNA from 1 species